CGCGGUCGCCCCAGCCGCCCGGCAGCCGCCGACCCCCGGCCGGGCCCUGGACUCGCCGCGGUAGUGCCUUCCCAAACAGAGCUGCUGGAAUUACAAUCUUUUGUUGAGCCUCAUGUAACGGAAAAGUCUCCGAUUACUAUCACUUGAAAAGGCUAGCGCGCCCACGGGACGGCCUGGAGAGUGAAGAGCCCCAAGGGUCCCGGGCCCGCGCGGCUCAUUCACUCUCUAGCGUCUGCUGAGGUAACGCGGCCCGCACCUGGGCGCGCGCGACUGCCCCAGUGCGCUGGCGCCAACCACGCGGCGGCGGCCCGGCGAGCCACCGGGAAGAAGUCAGACAAAGUCACUCUCAGGGCGCUGUGCAGCGCCACAGCCAGGGGAGGUGUAAGUUCGGGCUCAGUGAAGAAUCUCGGCUGACUUACGCUGCCAUCAGGGGAUAUGAAGGCGGUGGUUUCCUGGAAUAACACGGGCCUAUGAUAGGAAUUCGACGCAAGGAAGAUUUAUGGGAGCACCGAUUUGCAAGGCAUUGUGGGAAAAAGGUACACAGCUGUCUCAACAAAGAGGAACAGAGCACUAAAGCUAAAUAACCCCCAUGAAGGACCAACCCUCUUCCGGAAAAAAGGCUUAAAUUACACAUCAGUUAAAACGACGACAACAUUCUCCUCCACUUGUGCUCUACAGUGAGGGGCAGAUGAAUGGCCUUUGGCUGUUGCAGCAAAAUAGAGGUAAUCUACGUAUAAACUACUACAAUUUUAACAUUCCAUUCCCUAUCUUGCUUGGUCACUAUAGUCACCUAAUACUCUGUAUGUCCUUGUCACAAUACAGUUCUCCAGGAAAACUGUGGCCAACGUUUGGAAAAAUUAACCAUGAAAUUCUCAAACUUCAACUGCUAACAUGUACUCCAGGCUAAUGAUGACAGAGAAUAACACAGGCAAACUGCAGGCCAACCUUGGGGAGAUAGUUUCUUUAGAGAUGCCCUCUACUGAGUGCCCCUGAUAUCCAAGGAACAUGGAAGGCAGUCCCCAAAUGAAGAGCAAUUGUAUUCCUUUAAUUCAGUCAUAAAUCAACUCUCAAUUCUAUGAGAUUUUUCACAGAAGAACGGAGCGCCUCAAAAGUGGAUCAAGGCAGAAAUGGAUGUGGAAAUUAUCAUCCUGUACCUUUGAGGUAAAGAGGCUUCUACAGCUCUGGCAUGAGCUACCACAGGUCAUAACCAUUAGGAAAGAAACUGGAAUGUUACCAUGCCAGGCUUUGUGAAUAAACUAAAGUUUUGCUGGUGGUGGCACAGGAAAAAAAUGAAGAAACCAAGAGGACUUGAACCAAGUGGGUAUGACUCCAAAGCCCAUGCUUUAAAUGAACAAAUUGGCCUACCCUCUAAGGCAAGAACCCUUUAAUAGUGGUCUAUGUCAGAAAAAUAUCAAAAAGACUCAAGGCUCUUAAAUAAAUAAGGAAAUGAAUGACCUGCAUCAAAGUCUAAUUACGCCUAGGCCAGUUACCCACCCAGCCAGGUCUCCUUGUACAUACACAAUGGGGGUGAUAUUGCCCCCACAAGGAAUGAAAAUUCAUUUUGGGGAUGAGGCAAAAAAUUGUAUUCUUUUUCAUAUUAGCAUAGAUAUAUAAUGUAUCUAUGGCAUGAAAAUUUCAUGGGUGGGCAAUUAGGAGGAAAAAAAGGGUCAC
rnacentral:lncRNA from 1 species